CUUUACCCCAUCUGCUCGGGUCAUAGAGAACCUGCUCCGGCCCCUCCUGCUGCUACGCCCAGAGUGAAGACUUGCGGGGGGCUUGGAGGCCUGCUAGCCUUCUGGCCCCCUGGCACCCUUGCCUGCCAUGUACUUGGUUGCUGCACUACAUGUAAAAGCUCAAUAAAAGCCUGAGAAACCCACCGAGGGCUCCAGGGUUCUCCUUUACCCCAUCUGCAUAGAAUCAUAGAAAACCUUCUCUGUCGCCAUCCUGCCACUACAGACAGAAAAACAACGGAAGAUCUAUACUCCCUUCUCUGAUCCAGCCCAACCUGUGGCAUACAGGUUCUGCCUGCAAGAACAUGAGGCACCGCCAAAUGUGGACAGCUGUAACAAGACUGCCCCUUCCUGGGAUGUCACUGAGAGACAAGGGUAAACAGAAACCUUUCCUAUGUGAAGAACUUGGAGCAAUUCACCUGUCUAUUCAUGUUGCUUGGAAAGAGAAAUGACCAAAAUUAUAAUAUUAUACUAAUUCAUGUUCUGUGGUUUGAUAGUCAAGGACUUGGAACCAGCUUGGAAAACUGAUGAUGAAAAAAUUUGGGAAAGAGCAAUAAGAAACAACAGUGAAAAGUGAUAUUUUAGAAAUGUUCAUCUGGAGGAAACUGGAAAAUUGAGAGGAUGAGAAAGGAAGAAGUGUUUCUUUUGAGCAAUCAUUACCCAGUACGCAGUAAGGCCUCAAGAAAAUAUUUGGGAAGAGCAUUGGAGAUGGGUGUUCAAUUUAAAGAGUUGCCAGGAGUAAUCAAGUCUCCCAAAGAACAAAAGCCUGGGCUCAGACUGUUUUACUGGUGAGUUCUACCAUGCCUUCAAAGAUG